GAUGAACGCUGGCGGCGUGCCUAACACAUGCAAGUCGAACGGAGAUUACGGACGGAAGUUUUCGGAUGGAAGACUGUAAUUCUUAGUGGCGGACGGGUGAGUAACGCGUGGGCAACCUGCCCUAUACAGGGGGAUAGCAGCUGGAAACGGCUGGUAAGACCGCAUAAGUCGGCGAGACCGCAUGGUUUUGCCGGGAAAUGAGCAAUCAGGUAUAGGAUGGGCCCGCGUCCGAUUAGCCAGUUGGCAGGGUAAAAGCCUACCAAAGCAACGAUCGGUAGCCGGACUGAGAGGUCGGACGGCCACAUUGGGACUGAGACACGGCCCAAACUCCUACGGGAGGCAGCAGUGGGGGAUAUUGCACAAUGGAGGAAACUCUGAUGCAGCGACGCCGCGUGAGUGAAGAAGUAUUUCGAUAUGUAAAGCUCUAUCAGCAGGGAAGAUGAUGACGGUACCUGACUAAGAAGCCCCGGCUAACUACGUG
rnacentral:rRNA from 1 species